rnacentral:lncRNA from 1 species
GGAUUUAUCUGGUGGAGAAAAAUCCUGAAAUUUUUUUGGGGAAAAAAAAAUCCCUGAAAUUUGGGAUUUAUUUGGGGGAAAAUCCGAAAGUUUUGGAUUUACGAGAAGGGAAAAAAUGGUAAAAAUUUGGUGGGAAAUCCCAGAAAUUUGAGCUUCAGCUGUGCCCAAAAUUUGGGAUUUUUUUUUUUUUUUUGGAUGGGGAAAAAUGUGAAAAAACUGGGGGGAAAAAAAUCCUAAAAAAAGGGGGAGGAAAAAAUCCCCAAAAUUUGGGGAAAAUCCCCAAAUUGUCCCGAAUUUGUCCCAAAUUGGAGGGAGGGGACAGAGCCCUUCAGCCCUGGGCGAGGACAGGUGACAGCGGGAGGUGCCACCAGGUGUGCCCAGGUGCCACCAGGUGCCACCUCACCUGUCCAGGUGUCACCAGGUGUGUCCAGGUGCCACCUCAGGUGUGCCCAGGUGCCACCUCAGGUGUGCCCAGGUGCCACCAGGUGUGCCCAGGUGCCACCAGGUGUGUCCAGGUGUCACCUCAAGUGUGUCCAGGUGCCACCAGGUGUGCCCAGGUGCCACCUCAGGUGUGUCACACCUGGCCCACAGGCACGGGGAGGUGACAGGUGCCACCAGGUGCCACCGACACACAGCGAAACCAACGGUGCCACCUCCUGUCCUGUCCUGGUGCCGUCCCCAGGUGCCUCCAGGUGUGCCCAGGUGCCACCAGCUCUCCCCAGGUGUCUCCAGGUGUGUCCCAGCUGUUCCCAGGUGCCACCAGGUGUGCCCAGGUGCCUCCAGGGUGUCCUCAGGGUGUCUCCAGGUGCUACCAGGUUUCUCUCGGGUGAUCCCAGGUAUGCCCAGAUGUCUCCAGGUGCCACCAGGUGUGCCCAGGUGCCUCCAGGGUGUCCUCAGGGUGUCCCCAGGUGCCACCAGGUGUGCCCAGGUGUCACCAGGUGUCCUCAGGAUGUCCUCAAGGUGUCCCAGGUGUCCCCAGGAUGUCCUCAGGGGAUUCUCAGGUGUGCCCACAUAUCUCCAGGUGUGCCCAGCUGUCUCCAGGAUGUCCUCAAGGUGUUCCCAGGUGUCCCCAGGUGUGCCCAGGUGUCCUCAGGAUGUCCUCAAGGUGUUCCCAGGUGUCUCUAGGAUGUCCCCAGGCAUGCACCAGGUGUCCCCAGGUGUACUCAGGUGCCCUCAGGAUGUCCUCAAGGUGUUCCCAGGUGU